AUUGAACGCUAGCGGGAUGCCUUACACAUGCAAGUCGAACGGAGUGGCGAACGGGUGAGUAAUGUAUCGGAACGUGCCCAGUAUCGGGGGAUAACUACGCGAAAGCGUAGCUACUAUCGCAUACUAUUUGAACGGCCGGUGUCGGAUUAGCUAGUUGGUGGGGUAACGGCUCACCAGGGCGACGAUCCGUAGCUGGGUUGAGAGGACGACCAGCCACACUGGGACUGAGACACGGCCCAGACUCCUACGGGAGGCAGCAGUGGGGAAUUUUCGACAAUGGGCGAAACCCUGAUCCAGCCAUCCCGCGUGAGCGAUGAAGGUCUUCGGGUUGUAAAGCACUUUUGGCAGGAAAGCGGUACCUGAAGAAAAAGCACCGGCUAACUACGUGCCAGCAGCCGCGGUAAUAC
rnacentral:rRNA from 1 species